GACGAACUGUGCAAACGUUAUUCGGAAUCACUGGGCGUAAAGGGCGCGUAGGCGGCCUGAUAAGUAGGGGGUGAAAUCCUGCGGCUUAACCGCAGGGCUGCCUUCUAAACUGUCGGGCUCGAGCACGGUAGAGGCAGAUGGAAUUCCCGGUGUAGCGGUGGAAUGCGUAGAGAUCGGGAAGAACAUCAGUGGCGAAGGCGGUCUGCUGGGCCGUUGCUGACGCUGAGGCGCGACAGCGUGGGGAGCAAACAGG
rnacentral:rRNA from 1 species